rnacentral:rRNA from 1 species
CCUACGGGAGGCAGCAGUGAGGAAUAUUGGUCAAUGGACGAGAGUCUGAACCAGCCAAGUAGCGUGAAGGAUGACUGCCCUAUGGGUUGUAAACUUCUUUUAUAUGGGAAUAAAACAGGGUAUGCAUACCCUCUUGUAUGUACCAUAUGAAUAAGGAUCGGCUAAUUCCGUGCCAGCAGCCGCGGUAAUACGGAGGAUCCGAGCGUUAUCCGGAUUUAUUGGGUUUAAAGGGAGCGUAGGUGGAUUGUUAAGUCAGUUGUGAAAGUUUGCGGCUCAACCGUAAAAUUGCAGUUGAAACUGGCAGUCUUGAGUACAGUAGAGGUGGGCGGAAUUCGUGGUGUAGCGGUGAAAUGCUUAGAUAUCACGAAGAACUCCGAUUGCGAAGGCAGCUCACUGGAGUGCAACUGACGCUGAUGCUCGAAGGUGUGGGUAUCGAACAGGAUUAGAUACCCCGGUAGUC